rnacentral:rRNA from 1 species
UACGGAGGAUGCAAGCGUUAUCCGGAAUGAUUGGGCGUAAAGCGUCCGCAGGUGGCAAUGUAAGUCUGCUGUCAAAGCGUCUGGCUCAACCAGAUAAAGGCAGUGGAAACUACAUAGCUAGAGUAAGGUAGGGGUAGAGGGAAUUCCUGGUGUAGCGGUGAAAUGCGUAGAGAUCAGGAAGAACACCGGUGGCGAAAGCGCUCUGCUGGACCUUAACUGACACUGAGGGACGAAAGCGAGGGGAGCGAAUGGG